ACUCCUACGGGAGGCAGCAGUGAGGAAUAUUGGUCAAUGGGACGCAAGUCUGAACCAGCCAUGCCGCGUGCAGGAAGAAUGCCCUAUGGGUUGUAAACUGCUUUUAUUUGGGGAAGAAACCUCUUUACGUGUAGAGAGCUGACGGUACCAAACGAAUAAGCACCGGCUAACUCCGUGCCAGCAGCCGCGGUAAUACGGAGGGUGCAAGCGUUAUCCGGAAUCAUUGGGUUUAAAAGGGUCCGCAGGCGGGCUUAUAAGUCAGUGGUGAAAUCUCUCGGCUCAACCGAGAAACUGCCAUUGAUACUGUAGGUCUUGAAUUCGGUCGAAGUGGCGGAAUGAGUAGUGUAGCGGUGAAAUGCAUAGAUAUUACUCAGAACACCGAUAGCGAAGGCAGCUCACUAGGCCUGGAUUGACGCUGAGGGACGAAAGCGUGGGAGCGAACAGGAUUAGAUACCCCGUGGUAGGAUAGCG
rnacentral:rRNA from 1 species